rnacentral:rRNA from 1 species
GACGAACGCUGGCGGCGUGCCUAAUACAUGCAAGUAGGACGCAGUUGCGAACGGGUGAGUAACGCGUAGGUAACUACCUAUUAGAGGGGGAUAACUAUUGGAAACGAUAGCUAAUACCGCAUACUAGUAGAUGGACCUGCGUUGUAUGAGCUAGUAGGUAGGGUAAUGGCCUACCUAGGCAACGAUACAUAGCCGACCUGGGAAGGAGGACGGCCAAAAUGGGACUGAGGAGCGGGCCAGAAUUCUUCGGGGGGCAGCAGUAGGGAAACUUCGGAAAUGGGGGGAACCCUGGCCGAGCAACGCCGGGUUAGUGAAAAAGGUUUUCGGAUCGUAAAACUCUGUUAUUAAGGAAGCGGUACUUAACCAGAAAGGGACGGCUAACUACGUGCCAGCAGCCGCGGUAAUUC